rnacentral:lncRNA from 1 species
CAUAAUCUACUUUUUUAAAUUCUAAAUACAAGUAUAAAUAGAGUAUAAUAAUUUUAACUCUAAUCAAAACACCUAAAUGCUGCAUAAAUAGCUAUCGUCAAAUAUGGCAUAAAUUUUCACUCUCACACUCAGCGAUUAUUUUUUAAAAUGAUUUAAUUAGCCAGUGAAGUUUUACGAGUGACAUAAUGACAUAAAACCUUAGUUUUAAAUUUGUGAAAUUCAGCUGUUAGAAAUUUAAAAAAAUUGAAAAUAGAUUUUACAACUCAAGACUCCAUCUUUGUUCAU